rnacentral:lncRNA from 1 species
CGGGGGCGGGGCUGCCGGGCCACCGGCCGGGUCUUUCAUAGGGUGAGACAUACUGAGGGAUCCAUCUAGAAUCCAAUCAAAGGUACGGGCAUAAAGCGAAGGGUUGGAAUUGCCUAGCGGACUUGCUUUGGAGGUCAGAGCUCCGCCGGGUGCGGCUAGUAGCUGGGGGAGCUGCCGGAGGAGAGGGUCUCCGACUGUCGCCAGCGUGAACUCGGGUGCCCUGUGAGAGUGUCUGGGACACUCUAGAUCCCAAAUCUGCCCCGACCGAGGGCGCGUUCGUUCCUGCCUCGAAGACUGUGUUGCAGUUGUACCACUUUCUCUUCCUUUUUCCCCCGGCGUGCCUUUCCCUUCCUGCCUCUGCGCGUUCGGAAAGCUGUUUUUCGGGGAUGCUUAGCUCAGAGAAGUGUUGCGGAGAAAUAAAUCAUUUCUUUUGUUAGUCGGUAGUCAAUUGAUGGGAGGGGCUUAAAAAAUCACUUAAUGUGGUGACAAGAUGUAUUACUAUUGCUAAGAUCGUGAACGCUCGUGCAUUGAGGGAAGAUAAAGUCCUAUGAACAGGAUACUUCCUUUCGGAUUACUUCCGAGCUUGAAGGUAAGAUAUCCCCUGGGUUUGAAGACUUUUAAAAUUGUGAGUGGUCCCUUAAAGGUUUUAAUUUUUUUAUUUUUUUGUAAUUAUAACUUAAACUCAUCAAGAAAAUGCGAUAUUACUAAGUGUUUGGAAACACACAAAAAAAUUAAGCUUCUGUAUUUUAUUGUGUAGUAGCGCUGAGUGUUCCAUACUUUGUAAGCGGGUGUUUUGAUUUUUGGAUUAACAAGUAAGGAAGUUGGGGAGACGGGUUGCAAUACAGUUGUAACCAUAGCAAAGAGCAUGCUUUUAACUCUUAGAUGUCAUAGGACGUCAGAAAGUCAAAAGGAAUGAAUGUAAAAAUAAAAGCAGUCAACUCAGUGGGCCAGUGAGAAGAAAUUUUAUGAUUCUAAGAGGAGCCCUAAACUGCAUAGGCUUUCUGGAAACGCUUAAAAGUAACUUUUAAGAAUAUCCAUUCUUGCGACCUCAGAAAGUUGGAAUUCUUUACUUCCGUUUUCUUUCUUUUCCCCCUUGAGAUUUGGGAAGGAGUAGUCAAAUUUUAACAUUGAUUUAUAGUUAUAUUUAAUUUUAAGUACCUAAAAUUUUUACAGUAAUGAAAUAUUUAAUACAUAACAGUAAAAACUUUGGAAUUGACUGGCAUCAGAUAUCUUCAAAAUAGGAGCAUUGGUGGGAGAGUGAACAGAGAGGAUAGGUAGGACUGGAAAUCAUCUGUCAACUCAAUGGAGUUGUGACCUUACGCUGGCUUCACCUGUCACGACCUGUUUUCUUAUCUGUUGAAUGAGUAAAUUUCAUCCCAUGAUCACUAAGUUCCCUUCCACACUCUAAACUUACGCAGUUUUGAAGAGGGUUUUCAAAAUCACACUGAAAUCAUUAUAAAUAAAAUAAUUUCUUAGCCAGAUGCAUUGGUGCAUAUCUGUAAUCCCAGCUUGGGAGUCUUAGGCAGAAGGA